UUAAAGGAAUUGACGGGGAGCACCACAACGGGUGGAGCUUGCGGUUAAUUGGAUUCAACGCCGGAAAUCUUACCGGGACCGACAGCAAUAUGAAGGCCAGGCUGAAGACUUUGCCGGAUUAGCUGAGAGGUGGUGCAUGGCCGUCGUCAGUUCGUACUGUGAAGCAUCCUGUUAAGUCAGGCAACGAGCGAGACCCACGCCCACAGUUGCCAGCGUACUCUCUGGAGUGACGGGUACACUGUGGGGACCGCCGCUGCUAAAGCGGAGGAAGGAAUGGGCAACGGUAGGUCAGUAUGCCCCGAAUAUCCCGGGCUACACGCGAGCUACAAUGGUUGGUACAAUGGGUAUCUACCCCGAAAGGGGACGGGAAUCUCCUAAAACCAAUCUUAGUUCGGAUUGAGGGCUGCAACUCGCCCUCAUGAAGCUGGAAUCCGUAGUAAUCGCGUUUCAACAGAACGCGGUGAAUAUGCCCCUGCUCUUU
rnacentral:rRNA from 1 species